CCCCUGGUGGCUCAGUUGGUUGGAGCGUUGUCUCCUACACCAGAAGGCAGUGGGUUCGAUUCCUGUCCAGGGCA
rfam:Myotis davidii contig146979, whole genome shotgun sequence.